AUAUAUAUAUAUAUGGAAAACUUAAUAAAAUAUUAAAAUAAAAACUUUAAUUAAACCUCAAUCAAAAUUUAAUCAAACCUUAAUCAAAUCUUAAUCAAAUCUUAAUCAAAUCUUAAUCAAAUCCUUCUCAAAUCCUAAUCAACUCAUUAAUAAGUCCUAACUAAAUUCUAGACAAAUCCUAGUCAAACCUUAGUCAAGUCCUAAUCAAAUCCUAAUCAAAUUCUAAUCAAAUUCUAAACUAGUUCUAAUAAAAUCCUAGUCAAAUCCUAAUCAAAUCCUAAUCAAAAUUUUAAACAAAUCAAAAAUAGAUUCUAAUGAAAUCCUAAUAAAUCCCUAGUCAAAUCCUAGACAAAUCCUAAUCAAAUUCUAGUCAAAUUCUAAUCAAAUCUUAAUCAAAUCCUAAUCAAAUCCUAAUCAAAUCUUUAUAAAAUUCUAAUCAAAUCCUAACCCUAAUCAAAUCUUAAAUCAAUACAAAAUCACAAUCCUAAUCCUAAAUCAAAUCCU
rnacentral:lncRNA from 1 species